GAUGAACGCUGGCGGCGUGCUUAACACAUGCAAGUCGAACGGACAGGCCCUGCGCUUGCGGGGCUCUCGUUAGGGGAACGGGUGUGUGAAACGCGAGUAUCCUCUCCCUGUCAGUGUGAGAACACUACGAAACAGGGGCUAAUAUCGGGUAGGAGCUACUGCUCCACGGGGGGGGUUGGAAAGAUUCGGCGGUACGGGAUGGAAUCGCGGGUUACCAGCUUGUUGGUGUGGUAGUUGCGUUCCAAGCGUUCGACGGGUAGCCGGCCUGGGAGGGUGACCGGCCACAUUGGGACUAAGAUAGGGCCCAGAAGCCUACGGGAGGCAGCGGUGGGGAGUAUUACACAAUGGGCGGGAGCCUGAUGCAGCAGCGCCGCGUGCGGGAUGCCGGCCUUCGGGUGGUAAACCGCUUUCGCCUGAGACGAAGCGUGAGUGACGGUAAUGAGUAAAGAAGCACCGGCUAACUACGUG
rnacentral:rRNA from 1 species